GCGAUCGAGAUGUUUUGGCUUCACUUUUCAGGGCUUGUGCGGCACGCUUGGCCUAUACCCACAGCCGUUUAAAAAGAGAGUUGCGACACUCCCAUAGACCGCCAUAGGAACUUUGGAAUGCGGAAGUAACACGUGUCGUGGAGCAGCCAAUAGUUCCAAACACUGAUAGUUCCAGCACUGAAGACCAUUAAUAUUAGGAGCUUCCGAAGUACACUCGCUGGAGGUGACGGAGAAAUCUUAAGCAAGACUUAUACCUAGAUAAUGAUGGAUUAUCAGUGGAGAGUGGAGCGAUAACCAGGCUGGGGAAGCUUGCCUUUCCUGUAAGCAGUGGAGUGAUGAUGAAGCUGGUUGGUGGCACUAUUUGAACAGUGGAGUGCUGAAGCUGGUGCGGUGAUGAAGCUCUAAGUAUCAUGGCAUGAAGGAAGCCUGCUGUCCAAUAGCCCACUCUCUCUCUCCAGCAUAUCCAUGGCAUUUGGAUCCAUGAAGGAGGCAUCGGUCCUAGUUCGGAAUAGCUCCUUGAUUUGUUGGACUAAAUCGAAGGCUUCUUUUGAAGGCCGACUGAGUAGACCGGGCUUAAACUCCUUCAGCUUGAGUAAAACACUAUGCUUUACUUCAGGACUGUCAUCACUGUGCUUAAUUGCAUUUUGGAAAUCACCACAAAUUUUUGAAUAUUUAAUGACUUUAUUGACAAUGAAGCCUGUCAGGUGGUAGAGAGCACUUGUCUCAGUUUUUGUGAGAUCAGGAGCAGCUCUGCGCUCCAUCAGCUCCUCCACUCUGAAGCCAGGACUGGGAAAUGCCUGCUUGGUGUCCAGGAAGUCUGCCAAAAGGCUGUUGUCAUCCUCCUGGUAGUUUCCUGAUUUUACGUUCGCAAGAAACUGCCCAACAGAUAUUGAUCUCAGUGCCUGGUGAAACUCUACUGGAGUCGGAACUGGAUUUCUCUGUCUUAUGCAGCUGAAAAGAUUUUCAAGACAAUCUUGGGUAAACCUGCUGGUCAACACAAACAUGUGUCCCUGGGCAAGCAUGUCUUUUUGGAUUAGCAGAAUUGUAGAUGUUGCCAUUACAAUUCCUGAUUGUACAGGCUUCCAGCUACCAGCUUGUCCAAUCUUCAGCCCACGAAAGAGUUGAAUGGUAUCCUGUAGAAGUUUGAUGGCCUUCUGGUACUCCUCAAUUUUGCGUGUGCUCAGUGCCAUUAAUGGGUGGCGAGAGGACAUGAUAUCAAACCAGUGGUCCACCUGCUCCAGAAACCAUGCUGUUGUCAGGACAAUACGUGUGGUCACUGGCCACUGCAUGAACAUGUACUGGAGGUUCUGUGGUACUUCUCACGGCAGGACCCUUCCUCCUCUUGGGCUCAGGGCGAUGCACACAUAUGGUUGGAACAGCAUCAGUUCUCAAUCUCAGGUGGCCUUUUUUUGUUUUUGAGAAUUGCUCUCCCUCAAAAUGUGCCUGCAGAGUUGCUUAUGAGGUUAUUUUCCACACACUUUCCAAAUUAUUACCCCAUAAAUGUCUAUCACAAUUUCAUUGCUGUAUUGUACAUAUUACAUAUAGUAAAACAUGCCGAACCUUGAUCCACAAGUGAAGUUAGGUAAACAUAACUGCACAUAGUUCUCUAUUGUUGUAAUCUUUUGUGAUGGCUAGGUUGCUUCUGCUGACUUGGGCUAACCAUUUCUUUCUCCUGUCGGUUUCUUUUGGGAAGCCAUACAUCCGGAUCCCUUUCUCUGACCGAUUGGUGCAUCCAAAUGCCGCACAGCCAACCAUGCAGGACAAUGCUCCAUGCCACACAGCCAGGUCAAU